AGUGAACGCUGGCGGUAGGCUUAACACAUGCAAGUCGAACGGCAGCACAGUAAGAGCUUGCUCUUACGGGUGGCGAGUGGCGGACGGGUGAGGAAUACAUCGGAAUCUACUUUUUCGUGGGGGAUAACGUAGGGAAACUUACGCUAAUACCGCAUACGACCUACGGGUGAAAGCAGGGGAUCUUCGGACCUUGCGCGAUUGAAUGAGCCGAUGUCGGAGUAGCUAGUUGGCGGGGUAAAGGCCCACCAAGGCGACGAUCCGUAGCUGGUCUGAGAGGAUGAUCAGCCACACUGGAACUGAGACACGGUCCAGACUCCUACGGGAGGCAGCAGUGGGGAAUAUUGGACAAUGGGCGCAAGCCUGAUCCAGCCAUACCGCGUGGGUGAAGAAGGCCUUCGGGUUGUAAAGCCGUUUUGUUGGGAAAGAAAAGCAGCAGGUUAAUACCCCGCUGUUCUGACGGUACCCAAAGAAUAAGCACCGGCUAACUUCGUG
rnacentral:rRNA from 1 species